rnacentral:rRNA from 1 species
GACGAACGCUGGCGGCGUGCUUAACACAUGCAAGUCGAACGAAGUAGCGAACGGGUGAGUAACGCGUAAUUAACCUGCCCUUCAGAGGGGGACAACAGUUGGAAACGACUGCUAAUACCGCAUACUGAAGGAGGGGCUUGCGUCUGAUUAGCUAGUUGGAGGGGUAACGGCCCACCACGGCGAUGAUCAGUAGCCGGUCUUAGAGGAGGAACGGCCACAUUGGAACUGAGACACGGCCCCGACUCCUACGGGGGGCAGCAGUGGGGAAUCUUCCGCAAUGGACGAAAGGCGGACGGAGCAACGCCGCGUGAGUGAUGACGGCCUUCGGGUUGUAAAGCUCUGUUAAUCGGGACGCGGUACCGGAAUAGAAAGCCGCGGCUAACUACGUGCCAGUCGCCGCGGUAAUAC